AGGAUGAACGCUGGCGGUAUGCCUAACACAUGCAAGUCGAACGGGUGUCUUCGGACAUUAGUGGCGGACGGGUGAGUAACGCGUGAGAAUCUGCCUUCAGGAUGGGGACAACAGUUGGAAACGACUGCUAAUACCCGAUAUGACGAAAGUUGAAAGAUUUAUCGCCCGGAGAUGAGCUCGCGUCAGAUUAGCUAGUUGGUGUGGUAAUGGCGCACCAAGGCGACGAUCUGUAGCUGGUCUGAGAGGAUGAGCAGCCACACUGGGACUGAGACACGGCCCAGACUCCUACGGGAGGCAGCAGUGGGGAAUUUUCCGCAAUGGGCGCAAGCCUGACGGAGCAAUACCGCGUGAGGGAGGAAGGCUCUUGGGUCGUAAACCUCUUUUCUCAGGGAAGAACAAAAUGACGGUACCUGAGGAAUCAGCAUCGGCUAACUCCGUGCCAGCAGCCGC
rnacentral:rRNA from 1 species